rnacentral:rRNA from 1 species
ACUGCUCAGUAACACGUGGACAACCUGCCCUUAGGACGGGGAUAAACCCGGGAAACUGGGUAUAAUACCCGAUAGGUCUCGAUUGCUGGAAUGCAUCGAGAUUUAAAGCUCCGGCGCCUAGGGAUGGGUCUGCGGCCUAUCAGGUAGUAGUGGGUGUAGCGUACCUACUAGCCUACGACGGGUACGGGUUGUGAGAGCAAGAGCCCGGAGAUGGAUUCUGAGACACGAGUCCAGGCCCUACGGGGUGCAGCAGGCGCGAAAACUUUACAAUGCUGGCAACAGCGGUAAGGGAACCUCGAGUGCCAGGUUACAAAUCUGGCUGUCGAGAUGCCUAAGAAGCAUUUCAUAGCAAGGGCCGGGCAAGACCGGUGCCAGCCGCCGCGGUAACACCGGCGGCUCGAGUGGUAACCGUUAUUAUUGGGUCUAAAGGGUCUGUAGCCGGCCGGAUAAGUCUCUUGAGAAAUCUGGCAGCUUAACUGUCAGGCUUUCAGGAGAUACUGUCUGGCUCGAGGCCGGGAGAGGUGAGAGGUACUUCAGGGGUAGGGGUGAAAUCUUGUAAUCCUUGAAGGACCACCAGUGGCGAAGGCGUCUCACCAGAACGGACCUGACGGCAAGGGACGAAAGCUAGGGGCACGAACCGGAUUAGAUACCCGGGUAGUCCUAGCCGUAAACGAUACUCGCUAGGUGUCGGCCACGGUGCGACCGUUGUCGGUGCCGUAGGGAAGCCGUGAAGCGAGCCACCUGGGAAGUACGGCCGCAAGGCUGAAACUUAAAGGAAUUGGCGGGGGAGCACCACAACGGGUGGAGCUUGCGGUUUAAUUGGAUUCAACGCCGGAAAUCUUACCGGGACCGACAGCAAUAUGAAGGCCAGGCUGAAGACUUUGCCGGAUUAGCUGAGAGGUGGUGCAUGGCCGUCGUCAGUUCGUACUGUGAAGCAUCCUGUUAAGUCAGGCAACGAGCGAGACCCCCGCC